CUUGAGCGGAGUGGCGGACGGGUGAGUAAUACGUAGGAAUCUACCCUAGAGUGGGGGAUAACCUGUCGAAAGACGGGCUAAUACCGCAUACUCUCUAAGGAGCAAAGGUGGCUAGCAAUAGCUUUCGCUUUAGGAUGAGCCUACGUCGGAUUAGCUAGUUGGUAGGGUAAUGGCCUACCAAGGCGACAAUCCGUAGCUGGUCUGAGAGGACGAUCAGCCACACUGGAACUGAGACACGGUCCAGACUCC
rnacentral:rRNA from 1 species